rnacentral:lncRNA from 1 species
AUUCAUUGAUCCAGCUAUCUAAAUCAAUUUGGUUCGAGUCAUACCAAACUUUGAUACAAUCUCCCACCUGGUAAGCAUUCCCAACAAACCCUACCUUUAAGUUGAGACUGAAUUUUUCCCCUCAGAGAACACAAGGCUCGAUGACAGAUUAACGACUACGAAGUCAUUAAACAAGUUUGUUAUGGUGGGGGUUUGGUCCCCUUG